CCUCCAGAUCUAGAUCUAGAUCUAGAUCAAAGGCUGUAGGCUCUACCAACUGAGCCAGACAGGAGCUUCUGUUCUGAUCUUCCUAACGGAGGGACAGCAAGGGCGGAGAGUCUGCCUUGUGUCUGGGUCACAGCCUCCUUUGCUGGACUCUGGACAGCCCACACACUCUACCCUCGAGGUUUUGGGCACUUGGCAGUGACUGUCCUGGGGAGGAAGUGCUCUCUUGGUGUCCCCAGUGGGGGCACAAAUGAGUCACUAAAUGUGGGCCUGGCAACAGUUCCUUCUUCUAUGAGUGGUGACAGAUAUUCAAAAGGAAACAGCACUCAGUGCCCAGAGACUUGCCUUAGACACAAAGGAAACUACCGGUGAUAUUCGCCGUUCUGGGCAUUCUCGUGUUGCUGAUGUCCUGUGAGCCUCUGGCUCUGGGAAGCUGGCAGGGAGGCCACCUUCAGGAGGCCACUGGGAAAAUUGAGGAAUGGAGAGUAGAUGACUGGACGAUGGUGACACAGCCUGCCAGGGCCUGGCAUCCUGACCUCCAGCCCCAGAGCCUCUCCACCUCUGCCGGGCCUUCUCUAAGCUGCUGAACAGCGAAGGAGGUAAAUAAAUGUUGAAGAAGAAGAAGGAGAAGAAGAAGAAGAAGAAGAAGAAGAAGAAGAAGAAGAAGAAGAAGAAGAAGCAGCUGUGUCCUAAUUCCUGGGUGGAUCUAAAAGCAGUCACAUGGGUUCCUAUCACCAGGCAGCAGAGGGAAAUUCGACUACAGAAGAGGAGAAUGCAGUGCGAUGACUGUGGAGGAGAUUGGGAAGGUGCCAACAAAACCCACAGGUUGUAGCCUCGAAGAGGCAAAGAGCAGAUUCUCCUCUGGAAUCUCAAGAAAGAACCAACCUUACUGACAUCUUGAUUUUAUCCUUGAAAGACGCAUUAAAUUUCUGUUGUCUUAAACCACA